AUUCACAAAAUAGGAAACUUGGAUGAAAUUUCAUGAGAUAGAUAGAGAACCGUCGUCAGUAGCCCACUUUUAUUCUCUCUCGUGCUUCAACGACCGGAUGUAAUUUGGACAAAUGGACCUCCGCUGGUUACCGGUGAAAACAAAAGAACUCGACGGCUCGACAGAAUUAGAUAAGAAAGACAGAUUCCGGGUGCUUUUCCGAGGAAGCUUAGUAUGGCGAUUAAUCUCCUUUUUUAAAUGUCAAAGCAAUUUUUACAUUUGUCAGAACUACAGAGCUUCGGACUUUGACAUUUUCAUUUAUAAAAAUUUCAGAGAAAAUUGUAGAGAAUCGUAACGGGACUGUUCAAUUGUCAACGAUCUUUAUUCGAGCAUGCCAUCUUAAAUAACACGCUUGGUUAAUCAAAACUCGAGGAUGUAGCUAAGAGACCCUUAGUCAAGUAACUAUUACGCGCUAUGUCAAGUUGAGCGCGCAUGUUGUCGCGCGAAACCGCCAUCUUUGUCGUCUCUCUCACGGCGCCGUGUGUUGCGUCGCGUCGCGUCACGUCACGUCACGUCGGUGGUUUGUCGCGCGGUGGUGUUGCUCCGUGUUCGUCCGUUCACGAUUUUUACCUGUCGACAGUCCGUGUCGAAUUAGUUGUAAAAGUGUAAAACGUUGAGUAGAGCGCGGACCGAUUCGUAGAUUUAUCUGAUCAUAUUGAUCAAUAUUAAUUGUCGAUUAUAAUUCGCGACUUGCACGAGUGAAUGUUUCAAGAGGCUACGGUGUACGUGUUACAAAAUACUAAAUCGUUUCUCAGUCGUGGGUCACGAUUUUUGAUUGUAAACCGAUCAAAUAAGCAUUAACGAUAAUGACCCUGUAAUACAUGUAUAAUUCAUAAUAUAUAUUCAGUCGUACGACGAUGUAACGUUAAUCGUGUAUUCUCGGAUCCGAAUCGCGUGAGUGUUAUACUUGAAUGGAGGAGCUGAAUCGAUGCCAGAAAUCGCCUAGGAGUUGGCGCCGAUGGAACAGUUGGCGGAUCUGGCCAGGCGGUAGUGCCGGUGCGACAGCUGAAAUGAGCCAGACUGAAAGGAGCGUCGUGAAGCACGGUCCUAAGGACUCACCUUCACGUUUUUCACCGUUGCCACCAUCACCACCACCAUUACCACCACCACCACCACCUCCUUUGCCGAAGCUUCCGACUUACUCGCACCAAAAGCUUUUCAAGAAAUGCAAAAGCGCUACGUUCCAACUUGAUGGCGCGACAUAUACGAUAGUUGCAUCUCCACCGGAUAGACGAGUGACAAAAGACGAUAUUGGGGUAGCCUCAGCCAGUGUAGCGGUGAACAACGCGGCUGUUAGCGGCUGCAGUAGCGGCACGGCGUCAUCGAGGUCGCACAAUCCUUCCUCUUCUCCCGGUCGGAACGGCCAACUCUCUAAACAGGGCACUUUAACGAUAGUACGUCGAAGUUCCGGCAAAAACAAAAGCAUCAGCGGUGGGAAUUUCGAAAGUUCUCCAUCGCCGCACAAUCCCGAUACUUCGUAUUUAUCGAGUCAAUCCGUCGAUCUCGAAGAAAUCCUCGAUAAUGUCGAUCUUACGACGGAUUCGCUUCCUGCUGUUGACACUCCCGAUGCAUGCGACAAAGCUGCUCUCAGAUUGAGGUGUUUAUUGAGGCAGCUACAACAUGGAGAGAUAUCUGCCGAAUUACUUCAACGAAACUUGCACUAUGCAGCUCGUGUACUCGAAGCUGUUUUCAUCGACGAGACCAAAUGCAACUUAAAUUCAGUACUCCUCGAUUUCGUAAUGAGAGCUUUUUGUUUUCCCGAUGCGUCGUGCCGGAUGAAACUCAUAACUCUUGUUCAAUUAUUGGACGAUCAAAGCUUCAGCUGACCAUGAAGGACAAAGGCCAUUUCCCAUAUAUGUAUACGCAAGGAGAAUCAAUCACCACGUACAAGAACGAUUCUUGAAUCCCUCCGGGCUCAUUUUUGUGGAUUCGCCCGAGAAGAAUUGACGUCAACGUCUCUUUAAGUCACAAUCAGUGGUUGAGUACUGAUCGCCUCUGAUAAAUCAGAGAUGAGUUUAACUCUCAAAAAAGACAAGUAAAUUUUUAUUUUUACUGUUUUUCUAUAUUUUAUUACGAUUUUUUACGUUAAUACAGUUAUUACAGUUUUAUGCACAUAUGAAAACCAAACCAUUGAUGAUUUUUUAUUUUCUCUCGUUGUUAUAAACAAUAUUGAAUCGCACAAGUUUAGAAAUUCUACAAUUCCAUGCCUAAGAAUUGCGAGACGUUCAUUUUUACAUAUAAAUUUAUAUAAUUUAACUAUUAAGUAUUAAGUUUUCCGUAUUUUUAUUUUAUUUUUCUUGUUUGUCACAUUGCUUGUGAAAAAUUGUUAUGUAUAAAACGUCAUUUGUUUUGAGCGUCGCUCAUAACAAAACAUAACAAUGUUAUACAUGUAUCGAAUGCGUGAUAAUCGCACGCAACUGACUAUUUGCACCUUAUACACUUUGUCGUUCCGAAGAUUAUCAAUAAAUUUUUGAAUUGAAGAUUUUAUGUUCAUUGCGUAUACAAUGGAAAUGCAUUUAGCUCGCUUGCAUAUUCUGCAAUUUUUAUUUUUAGCAAUGAUAUUAUGCAGCCGUGAAACACGACGCAUCGAGUGUAUUUUAUUCUAAUUAGAUUGCGACAUACAUUAGAUUUAUCGCAAUGUGAGAAAAGAAUCGUCGAUGAGAGCGCAGUGGUGUGAUAUUUAAACAAAAACAAAGAGAAAAGAACAAAGGGUAAAAAGGGAAA
rnacentral:misc_RNA from 1 species